UUUGACGAGUAAAUGAAUUAACAAAUAGCUUAUUCACUGACGCUUUUCAUUUUGCAUUCAGUAAGCUCUGAAUGCACCGAGGAUGUAUUCCAGUGGUCUUACACUCCAUCCCUCGAGGGCCGGAGUCCCGCAACUUUUAGAUGCGUCCCUUGUCCUACACACUUUAAUUAAAUGGUAAAACUGACUCACUCUACAGAGCUCUGCUGCUCAGCUUAUAUUGGAGCCAGGUGUGCUGAAGCAGAGACACAGAUUAAAUUUACAAUAUGAGAACACCGCCUUAAACACUGAAUGAAGUCCUCAUCUUCAUUUCAACCCCUUAAAUCCAAAUAAUUUCAGUUUCAAUUAUUUCUAUCCAGCUUAGAUGAACAAGUUCCGAACAGAAGUAUUCAAAACCCAUAAACUGCAACAUAUUUAUGUGAUCGAUCAACAAAACGUUGUGCAUUAUGUGAAACGGGGGAAGAAUGACACACUGUUUUAAAGUUAUUCAAUAUAUACAAGUCAAACUGUGCAGUUGUUAUUAUUCUGAGUUCCUAAUGUGUAAGAUAGCGAGACUGCAACACUGCAAGUCUUUAAGGGUCAACACUAGCUUUGCACAUCUGUAGACUGAAAGUUUUGCUUUUUCUCUUAGGGUCACUGUUAUGCUGAAAGGUCAAACCUCACCAUAGGCGAGGUUCAAGCGAUGAUGCACCUACCACCAUGCAUCAUCAUGAAGUCUAUGCUAAUUCACACGUAAGCAGGUCAGAGAGUCAUGGUGAGCAGGAACACAACACAUCGACGCCGCUUUAAAAACAAACAGUGCCGAGCAGCAAGGUUAGCUGGCUAAUUGGGGUAAUACCCCCGGAGGACCGAGCAUCUAGCCUUGACGCUAGGUUGUCCUCCAACAUCUCGGAGGGGCUGCUAGAAGUGAAGGCUAACCACGGGAAGGACGAGGCUGACCACGUUCUGGAGGAGGCCUGAGAGGGAGGAAACAACCAGCGGUGGAGAGCUACGGAGCUCCAGGACCAGAGCAACCGCCCGUUCGCACCCAAAC